UACGAAGGGUGCAAGCGUUACUCGGAAUUACUGGGCGUAAAGCGUGCGUAGGCGGUUUGUUAAGUCCGUUGUGAAAGCCCUGGGCUCAACCUGGGAAUUGCAGUGGAUACUGGCGAGCUAGAGUGCGGUAGAGGAUGGUGGAAUUCCCGGUGUAGCGGUGAAAUGCGUAGAGAUCGGGAGGAACACCAGUGGCGAAGGCGGCUCGCUGGGCCGGUCCUGACACUGAGGCGCGAAGGCGUGGGGAGCGAACGGG
rnacentral:rRNA from 1 species